CACCCCCGAACACUCCGCCGCACCGGUCUUAAAGUAGUCCUUUAAGGAUAAAGUUAACAGAAGUGAAACCGCUGAGCCGAAGGUUCUAAAAGGCUAUUAAAAAGUUAACGCGAAAAAGCCCAGGAGCGAGUCUACCUCCCGCGGACCCCGCGGACCCCAGAUCCACAGGUUGAAAGGAAACACCACCGCCGCCACCGCCCCCACGGGGGUCCCGCCGAGCAGGACGCGGAAGCGCCUGAUCCCGGGUUCCGCCGUCGCCCCCGAGUUCCGGUAGGAACCCCGGGCUCGCGUGCGCGCCCGGGGUUUGAACCGGCGUCCCGCCCCGUGCCGGGCCGCUUCCCUCCCCGCUUGGCCACCGUGGCCCGGGCAGAGGGCGCCCCGUGGAAAUAAAUAAAUAAACAAGCCCGGAGCCCAGGCAGCGUGCGCCAGGCUUUCCGCUCGGGGCAGGGGCCGAGGCCGCCCCGUUCCGCCUUCUCCGCCCCCCAGCCCGCCGUUCUUCCGGCUUCCCGGGGGCGCACGUCAGGACCCCCGGAGGAGAGCAGAAGAGCAGGAAGAGCGGCGGCAAGAGAUGACACCGCGGGACUCGCAACGUCGGGGGCCGCGGAAGCCCUUGCUGGCCUUGCCAGCGGGUCAGAGGAUCUCCGCCGGCGGUUUCUCCCCAUAUGGAUGGGGUGUUUCUUCCUCAGACGGCCAGAACCUCAACCAACAGGACUGAGCACGUCUAUUGGCGAAUCUGUCCAGGAUCGGUGUUUUGGGCGCCGGCCAGACGCGCGGGAUUUGCAGGAAAGGGUGUGCCUCCGGGAUGGAAGGGAAGAGACGCGCCUGGAGUGUUGUCUGCUUCGAAUUGUAUCUGGGUUUUGAGAGCUGCGGGGCCCUCUGGGAUGAGAGACGACGGGGCCCAAUGACGCAUUUGUGAUCUCCCUACAGGGUGAUUGGCACUGUGGCUGUACGUGGCCGCCCCUUGGGAGGGUGCCAUGGAAACAGAGGGCAGGGCUGCCCUGAGCACCUCUCCUCCCCACCCCUCCCGCACGCUCCAUAAACGUUUGAAUGGAUUUGUGUGUAUGAGCGAUCCCGGCCUCAAAAAUAUCUAGAUAUGAGAGGUGGGAGGGCUUACUCUACCAGAUAUUAAAACUUAUUAUCAUCAACUAUAAACUGUAGGAAUUAAGAUAGCGUGGUGCGGGUGCAGGAGAGACCAGCAUCCCAGUGGAACAGAAUAAAGGGCCCAGAUAGAGCCCCACACGUACUUGGACAAGUGAUUCAAGGCAGAGGGUGCUUGAAAGCUGAGCGGAGACACCGAGGAGGAGAGUGUGACACGAAAAGGAACAGGCCGGGGAGUAAACGUGGACACAAAGGGUCAUCAGAACUUCAGUGGCCCGCUCUGUGCUUGGCCUCCUCGCACCUUGGCCUUCCCUUCUAGGUCCUUUUCAUGGCCCUUCCUCCUCCUGAGUCGCUGAUGUUCUCCAAGCUCCAUCGUUGGCCUCAUCCCAUCCUGCCCCACGCAGCCAUCCCGCACGGACUCACCUCCUCUUUCCAUAGAAUCAGCCGCCACCUCCCAGUGGUUCUCAACAGGGUACGAGGGGAGGGAGGAGAAGCCGAGGGGAAUCACCUAGAAUCAUUUGGUGAGAAGGGCGUUCCCACUGGUGACACCACCAUUCGCUCGCUCAGUCAUCCCAGAAAGAAACUUGAGGUCAUCCGUGACAGUCACCUUGCCGUCCUGCUGGGAGUCGAGCGACCUCCAAGCCCUGAAAACGUUACCUCCCGAGUCUGGUUCCAAUUCAUCACCUCCUCUCCGUUCUUACUCCGAUCCCCCCAGUUCAGGUCCUGAGCAGGUCUGCGCACCUGGAUCCCCGUGGUUCCCCUUUCUCUGGGAACCGCCCUUCUCAGAGUGGCCCAAAGAUCAGCAGGGAAAGGAAACUCCUUCAUCUCUGAUUCCUGGGGAGCAAUCAAGGUUCUGGUCCGAUGAUCAAGGUCUUAGAGCCCAAGGGAGGGACUGAAGACAACGGUAUCUGGGGAGGGCCGUGUGGUUGGUCCACUUAGGCUGAGUUCAAGCGGCAUGAGUAGAUUUACCAGAAGGCCGCCCCUGCAGAAGAGGCUCUUUAUAACCCCACAGACGGGGGGACCCCUGGGCCGACGGGGGCUCAUGAAACAAAGCAGCCAGAGAGGCAGGAAUAGAGGCUGUGUUGCACGUGCCGUGGCUCUGGAAGAUGCUAACAUCAGGCGAAGCUGGGGGAGGGGGACACGGGAACCUUCUGUACCAUCUGUGCAAGUGUUCUGUAAAUCUCAGGCAAGGAGCGAAUGCUCUCAG